rnacentral:other from 1 species
GUUUCAAUCCCUUAUAGGUGGCUAAAAAC